rnacentral:misc_RNA from 1 species
GAUGAAGAACGUAGCGAAAUGCGAUAACUAAUGUGAAUUGCAGAAUUCAGUGAAUCAUCGAGUCUUUGAACGCACAUUGCGCCCCCUGGUAUUCCGGGGUGCAUGCCUGUCCGAGCGUCAUUGCUGCCCUCAAGCACGGCUUGUGUGUUGGGCUCCGUCCCCCCGGGGACGGGCCCGAAAGGCAGCGGCGGCACCGAGUCCGGUCCUCGAGCGUAUGGGGCUUUGUCACCCGCUCUGUAGGCCCGGCCGGCGCCAGCCGACAACCCAUCAUCCUUUUCAGGUUGACCUCGGAUCAGGUAGGGAUACCCGCUGAACUUAAGCAUAUCAAUAAGCGGAGGA